rnacentral:lncRNA from 1 species
CACCAUGUAAGAAGUCCCUUUGCUCUUCCUUGGUCUUCUGCCAUGACUGUGAGGCCUCCCCAGCCAUAUGGAACUGUGAGUCCAUUAAACCUCUUUUUCUUUAUAAAUCACCCAGUCUUGGGUAUGUUUUAUCAGCAGCGUGAAAAUGAACUAAUACAGAACUGUAUAAAAUUUUGAAUUUCUGGCCAAUGCAUAAACAAAGGGAAACCAAAAGGACUUUGAAUCUGAUGAUUCAGAAGAUUAAUCUGGCAACUAUGUGUGAGAGGAAUUGGAAUGAAACUUGUGUAGGGUAAUACCCAUUAUGAGGUCAUAUCUAUAAUCCAGGCAAGAGGUAAUGGUGGCACAACCCCAGGUGAUGGUGCUGGGAAGGGAAAGUAGAGAAUAGUUGCGAAGUCUUACAGAGAAAGAUCUGGUCUUUCUAAAUGCUUUGACACGAGAGAAAAGAGACAGAGAGGAUCCAAACAUGAAGCCAGGGACAAUGGUGGCAUUGCCAACAAAAAUAGGUAACAGAGGAGAAGAAACAAGCUUGAUAGAAAAUAUGAAUUCUACCUAUUGACAUGGUGACUUUGAGAUGAAGGGAAGCCUUCUAAAUGGAGUUGUCAAGAAGGCAGUUAGAAAUGCAAGACUGAUAACAGAAUUCAAGCAUGGAGCCAUGGAUGUGUGCAUUGUCUACAGAGAUGUGAUAGAAGCCAUGACUGUGGAUAGGAUUACUAAGGGAGGGAGGGCAGAGACAGAAGAGGAAAAGGCCAGUAUAAGAUACUUGUAAGUUGUGCUGUUUGCCUGUUGCCUCUUGGGCCCAUGCCACCCUCCCCUGUGGUGUGAGGGCCAAGGGACUGCCAACAGCCUUUCCCAGACUCUCUCUUGCCAGCUGGCUUCCUAUUCAAUUCUGCUACUAAGAGGCACUGAGACGUGGCUGAAGGACAUAGGGUGAGAGAAGGGUUUUCCUCCUGUUUCCAGCUCCUGUCAAUGUCCCUCCAGGAGGACUCUAGCCUAGGGCUUAGCAAACUUUUUCUGUAAAGAGCUGGACAUGAAGUAGUUUAAGCUUUGCAGGCCAUAUGGUCUCUGUUAUAACUCCUCAACUCUGCCAUUGUACUGCAAGAGCAGACAUAAACAAUAUAUAAAUGAAUAAGGAUGACCACAUUGCAAUAAAACUUUAUUCAUGGACACUGGAGUUUGAGUGUUUUAUAAUUUUCAUGUGCCAUGAGAUAUAUCUUCCUUUUCGGUUUUAUUUUCAGCCAUUUUUAAAAUAUGAAGAAUAUUCUUUUUUUGUUUGCUUGUUUUUUGAGAUGAACUCUUGCUCUGUCACCCAGUCUGGAGUGGAGUGGCGCAAUCUCGUCUCACUGCAACCUCUGCCUCCCGGGUUCAAGCAACUCUCCUGCCUCAGCUUCCCAAGUAGCUGGGACUACAAGUGUGCACCACCAUGACUGGCUAAUUUUUUUUUUUUUUUGUAUUUUUAGUAGAAACAGGAUUUUGCCACAUUGGCCAGACCGGUCUCGAAUUCCUGACCUCAGACCAUCCACCCGCCUCGGCCUCCCAAAGUGCUGGGAUUACAGGCGUGAGCCCCGUGCCUGGCCAAAAUGUGAAGAACAUUCUUAGCUCGUGGGCCAUGGAGAAACAGGUGGCAGCUGGAUUUGGCCUAUGGGCAAUAGGUUGCCCGUGCUAGCUCCCAAUUCUUCAGACACUCCUGGCAGCAGGUGAACUGCACCUCCUGGAGAUACCAGCGCCCCAGAGGCUCAACCCCAUCACAAUGCAUCCUCAUUCUGUGGUCUGAACAUGGGCCAGGCAAGGCUGAGCCUGGAGGCUCUGGUGGCCCCACUUCUUCUCUUCUGUCCCUCCAGCCCUGAGAAGGAACUCCUGUAGUUACCAUAUCUGGUCACUGCAGCAUCUCCAUUUGCCCUUCCAACCCUCCAACACUGGAGUAGUCAAUUCCCUGAAUACAUCCCUUCUGUAAGAAAUGCCUUGCAUGGAAUCGUUUUCCUGCUUGGACUCUGACUGACACAGAAAUCCUUCCAUUUUAGGGAGGGGAAGAAGAAAAGGAAGCCAAAAGGGAGAAGUCAAAGACUGAAGAGGCAAAUUAGGAGUGUCCCCACACUGAAGGGAAAAGAAGCUCAGGAAGAAGGUCCUGGGGAGCAGCAGUUGCCACUGCUGAGAGGUGAAGAGGAUGCCUGCGAAGAGGGUGAUGAGCUGAGGAACUUCCAGAAGUCAUCCUCAGGGGGUGGCAGGGGCCCGGGAGCUGGAGGCAGACAAGACACAGCCUCCUCUUGUGAGAGUUUGUGAGAGGCAGGGUCUGAGGCAGUCCCUUGUGAUGCAGGAGAGAAGCAUGGAGAUGGCUCUGCCCGUGUCAGGACUGUCAAUCCUCCCAGUUGGCAAACACAUGGAACCCGGGGGUAGCCACCUUCCCUCCUGACUCUCUCCCUCCCUACACUGCACUUUCCUGGCCCUGCCUCUGAUUACAGAACACACCUGGGCACUGGCUGAAGUUCCCUGCUCCUGCAGAUAUUCUUGUGGGUAAUGGCAUCCAGAAAGAAUGAAACCUUGAAGCAGAAGACAUUGGGUGGCUGAGUCAGGGUGUGGGACUUGAGCCAGUUUCCACUCUGCAAAGAUCGGGAAACAAGCACCCUCUCCAUCUUCCCCAGCCUGGAGAUGCCAGCCAUGAGGACUCAAAGGGGUCUCUGGCCUGGCAUUCAGCCUCCUACCCCAGAGCCCCAGGGAGAGUACUGGGGACUGGAAGCACCAAGCCAAAGGCUCUGAGAGGCCACAGUGCUUGGGGAUUGAGGCUCUGAGCCCAGAAACUUUGCCAGAGAGCCACAUAGUAGCUCCAUAACCACCAACUCCCUGGAGCUAGAGGAAAGGAAUGAAGGGAGGCCAGGUCCAAGAACUCCUAGACCAGUCCUGGUGGUGCACAUCCUCAGGUACUUUCCCACAUAAUUAUCUUAACAACCUGUGAGGUAUUAUCAGAGGUGUUUGAAGCAGAGCAAUUCCAUCUUGAAUAGGGGCUGGGUAAAAUAAGGCUGGGACCUACUGGGGUGCAUUCCCAGGAGGUUAAGUCAUUCUUAGUGACAGAAUGACAUAGAAGUUCAGCACAAGAUACAGGUCACAAAGACCUUGCUGAUAAAACGGGAUGCACUAAAGCAGCCAGCCAGGCUGGGCACAGUGGCUCACACCUCUAAUCCCAGUACUUUGGGAGGCCGAGGCGGAUGGAUCACCUGAGGUCAGGAGUUUGAGAUCAGCCUGGCCAACAUGGUGAAACUGUAUCUCUACUAAAAAUACAAAAAUUAGCCGGGCAUGAUGGUGCACACCUGUAAUCCCAGGUACUCGGGUGGCUGAGGCGGGAGAAUCGCUUGAACUCAGAAGGCAGAGGUUGCAGUGGGCCAAGAUCGUGCCAUUGCACUCCAGCCUGGGUGACAAAAGCAAAACUCCAUCUCAAAAAAAAAAAAAAGAAGCCAGCCAAAACCAACCAAAACCAAGAUAGCAAUGAGAGUGACCUCUAGUCGUCCUCACUGCUUAUACGCUAAUUAUAAUGCAUUAGCUGCCAAAAGACACCCCCACCAGCCCCAUGACAGUUUACAAAUGCCAUGGCCAUGUAGGAAGUUACCCUGUAUGGUCUAAAAUGGGGAGGAACCCUCAGUUUUGGGAAUUCUCCACCCCUUUCCCAGAAAACUCAUGAAUAAAUGAAUAAUCCACCCCUAGUUUAGCAUAUAAUCAAGAAAUAACCAUAAAAAUGGUCAACCAGCAGCCCAAGCCACUGAUCUGCCUAAGGAGUAGCCAUUCUUUAUUCCUUUACUUUCUUAAUAAACUGUUUUGUUUUGUUUUGUUUUUUUGAGACAGAGUUUCACUCUUGUCACCCAAGCUGGAGUGCAAUGGCGUGAUCUCAGCUCACUGCAACCUCCGCCCCGCAUGUUCAAGCGAUUCUCCUGCCUCAGCCUCCUGAGUAGCUGGGGUUACAGGUGCGCACCACCACCCCCGGCUAAUUUUUUUUGUAUUUUUAGUAGAGACGGGGUUUCGCCAUGUUGAUCAGGCUGGUCUCUAACUCCUGACCUCGUGAUCCACCCGCCUCGGCCUCCCAAAAUGCUGGGAUUACAGGCCUGAGCCACCACACCUGGCACAUGACACCCUUUUUAACGGUAAGAAAAACUGAGUUUCAGUGAGGUUGCACAACAUUCCCAAAGACACACAAGCUACAACCUGGCAGGGUCCUCCUGACUCCAGAGCCUGCUCAGAUGUCCCAGAAAGAACCCCCCAGGAGCCUCAUUAGGGGCCCCAGUGGCCUGUGAAGAACUGGUGGAUAAACUCAGACCUAACACCAAAGCUGUGUCUAGAGAGGCAACUGCAGUCUAGAGAAGAUAGGUUACUGACCUAAGAAACCACAAAUUUCACCUUUGCUUCCUCUCCAUCAGGUACCCCAGGCCUUCUGACUUUCCCACCCUAAAGCCCAUCAGAUCCCAAACCUAUUUGACAUGGUUUCUUUUUUUUCUUUUCUUUUAAUAAAAACAUUAUGAACCUCUAAA